rnacentral:rRNA from 1 species
AUACGGAGGAUGCGAGCGUUAUCCGGAUUUAUUGGGUUUAAAGGGUGCGUAGGCUGUGCGUUAAGUCAGGGGUGAAAUACCGUCGCUCAACGACGGAGCUGCCCUUGAUACUGGCGUGCUGGAGUACGGAUGCCGUUGGAGGAAUGAGUGGUGUAGCGGUGAAAUGCUUAGAUAUCACUCAGAACACCGAUUGCGAAGGCAUCUGACGAAUCCGUCACUGACGCUGAGGCACGAAAGCGUGGGGAUAGAACAGGAUUAGAUACCCUGGUAUUCCACGCCGUAAACGAUGAUGACUAACCGUCGGCGAUAGACAGCCGGUGGCCAAGCGAAAGCGAUAAGUCAUCCACCUGGGGAGUACGUCGGCAACGAUGAAACUCAAAUGAAUUGACGGGG